UUGUUUCUAUGGGAAACAGAGUUAAUUUAACAGAUGGUCUUGAAGGGCUGGCUGGGCGGACUGUUGCCUUGGCAUUUGUUGGAAUGUCAAUUGCAGUGCUUCCAAUAUGUCCUGUGUUGGACACAAGAGAGAGGUCAUUCUUGAAAAACAACUGGAAAAGAAAGAGCUGAUCUUAAGGUGAUGAAAGCAGUGAUAAUUAUAGCUAUUCUGAUUGGAUUAACUUGUGGGAUGAUUUUAAUUGGAUUUUACAUUUGCAAGUGGAGAGCAUUUUAUGAUUAUUAGCCAAGUUGGACAAAAACGGGGUAGAUUGAAUAUUGAGGAAGAUGAUGAUGGGCAACCAAGGAAGAAGGUUCAUCUAGGUGUUCCAACGACACAAUGGAUUUCAGUUUACAAUGCUCGCCAGCCAAUGAAACAGAGGUGCAUUUUUUGAAUGUUAUGUUAUUUUUUUUUACCCUUG